AACUUCUGAAUGUUGACCUCGGAUCAGGUAGGAAUACCCGCUGAACUUAAGCAUAUCAAUAAGCGGAGGAAAAGAAACCAACAGGGAUUGCCCUAGUAACGGCGAGUGAAGCGGCAACAGCUCAAAUUUGAAAUCUGGCUCUCGGGCCCGAGUUGUAAUUUGUAGAGGAUGCUUUUGAUGCGGUGCCUUCCGAGUUCCCUGGAACGGGACGCCAUAGAGGGUGAGAGCCCCGUCUGGUUGGAUACCAAAUCUCUGUAAAGCUCCUUCGACGAGUCGAGUAGUUUGGGAAUGCUGCUCUAAAUGGGAGGUAUAUGUCUUCUAAAGCUAAAUACUGGCCAGAGACCGAUAGCGCACAAGUAGAGUGAUCGAAAGAUGAAAAGCACUUUGAAAAGAGAGUUAAAAAGUACGUGAAAUUGUUGAAAGGGAAGCGUUUAUGACCAGACUUGGGCUUGGAUAAUCAUCUGGGGUUCUCCCCAGUGCACUUUUCCAGUCCAGGCCAGCAUCAGUUUUCGCCGGGGGAUAAAGGCUUCGGGAAUGUGGCUCCCUCCGGGGAGUGUUAUAGCCCGUUGCGUAAUACCCUGGCGGGGACUGAGGUUCGCGCAUCUGCAAGGAUGCUGGCGUAAUGGUCAUCAACGACCCGUCU
rnacentral:rRNA from 1 species